GAAGGAUGAGACAACAAGCUGGCACCAGUCCGAGAAGAUCAUUUGUACUCUUCUAUCUGCGGAUUAGCUGCAAGGCACAAGCCUGAACUCUGAC
rnacentral:snoRNA from 1 species